AGCAGGAGCUUCAAAAGGGUGUCUCAAAUUAUCGCUAUCGUAUUCCAUUCUCUCAUAAAUUUGUAAUUAGUGUAAACAUCCUUACCACAUAAAAGUAGAUAAUGUAUGAUUAGGUGUAAAAUUUGAUCUAUACAUUCUAUUCAAAAUCUGAGACACUAUUUUGUAGAUAAUGACUCAAGGAACAACAUAUAAUAAAAUCAACCCUUUAGGGGGAUCCAUGAAGAAGCUAAUUUCAAUUGAAAGUGGAAAUUUGUUGUAAAAUUUUGUUGAC
rnacentral:lncRNA from 1 species